GCGGGUGUGCUGUCUGGUGCGUG
rnacentral:miRNA from 8 species